rnacentral:rRNA from 1 species
CAAAGGAGCAAUCCGCUGAAAGAUGGGCUCGCGUCCGAUUAGGUAGUUGGCGGGGCAACGGCCCACCAAGCCGACGAUCGGUAGCCGGGCUGAGAGGUUGAACGGCCACAUUGGGACUGAGACACGGCCCAGACUCCUACGGGAGGCAGCAGUGAGGGAUAUUGGUCAAUGGGGGAAACCCUGAACCAGCAACGCCGCGUGAGGGAAGACGGUUUUCGGAUUGUAAACCUCUGUCCUCUGUGAAGAUGAUGACGGUAGCAGAGGAGGAAGCUCCGGCUAACUACGUGCCAGCAGCCGCGGUAAUACGUAGGGAGCAAGCGUUGUCCGGAUUUACUGGGUGUAAAGGGUGCGUAGGCGGCUUUGCAAGUCAGAAGUGAAAUCCAUGGGCUUAACCCAUGAACUGCUUUUGAAACUGCAGAGCUUGAGUGGAGUAGAGGUAAGCGGAAUUCCCGGUGUAGCGGUGAAAUGCGUAGAGAUCGGGAGGAACACCAGUGGCGAAGGCGGCCUGCUGGGCUCUAACUGACGCUGAGGCACGAAAGCGUGGGUAGCAAACAGGAUUAGAUACCCUGGUAGUCCACGCUGUAAACGAUGAUUACUAGGUGUGGGUGGACUGACCCCAUCC